UUAUACCGCGAAACUGCGAAUGGCUCAUUAUAUAAGUUAUCGUUUAUUUGAUAGUACCUACUACUUGGAUAACCGUGGUAAUUCUAGAGCUAAUACAUGCUAAAAAUCCCGACGGAAGGGAUGUAUUUAUUAGAUUAAAAACCAAUGCCCUUCGGGGCUCACUGGUGAUUCAUGAUAACUCCUCGAAUCGCAUGGCCUUGUGCCGGCGAUGGUUCAUUCAAAUUUCUUCCCUAUCAACUUUCGAUGUUUGGGUAUUGGCCAAACAUGGUUGCAACGGGUAACGGAGGGUUAGGGCUCGACCCCGGAGAAGGAGCCUGAGAAACGGCUACUACAUCCAAGGAAGGCAGCAGGCGCGCAAAUUACCCAAUCCCGACACGGGGAGGUAGUGACAAUAAAUACUGAUACAGGGCUCUUUUGGGUCUUGUAAUUGGAAUGAGUACAAUUUAAAUCCCUUAACGAGGAACAAUUGGAGGGCAAGUCUGGUCCAGCAGCCGCGGUAAUUCCAGCUCCAAUAGCGUAUAUUAAAGUUGUUGUGGUUAAAAAGCUCGUAGUUGAACCUUGGGCCUGGCCGUCCGGUCCGCCUCACCGCGUGUACUGGCUCGGCCGGGCCUUCCCUCUGUGGAACCCCAUGCCCUUCACUGGGCGUGCGGGGAACAGGACUUUUACUGUGAAAAAAUUAGAGUGCUCCAGGCAGGCUAUGCUCGAAUACAUUAGCAUGGAAUAAUAGAAUAGGACGUGUGGUUCUAUUUUGUUGGUUUCUAGGACCGCCGUAAUGAUUAAUAGGGACAGUCGGGGGCAUCAGUAUUCAAUUGUCAGAGGUGAAAUUCUUGGAUUUAUUGAAGACUAACUACUGCGAAAGCAUUUGCCAAGGAUGUUUUCAUUAAUCAGGAACGAAAGUUAGGGGAUCGAAGACGAUCAGAUACCGUCGUAGUCUUAACCAUAAACUAUGCCGACUAGGGAUCGGACGGUGUUUUUUUUGACCCGUUCGGC
rnacentral:rRNA from 1 species